AUGAACGCUGGCGGCGUGCCUAAUCAAUGCCAGUCGAGCGAACGGACGAGAACCUUGCUUUUCUGAUGUUGUGGCGGGCGGGGGGGUAACAACUUGGUAAACCUACCUUUAAGAUUGGGUAAACUCCGGAAACCCGGAGUUAUUCCCGGUAAAUAUUUUGAACGCCAUGUUUCAAAAGGAAAGGACGGUCUUGUUGUCAUUUAUAGACGGAUCCGCGCUGCAUUAGCUAGUUGGUAAGGUACCGGCUUACCAAGGCAACGAUGCAUAGCCGGCCUGAGAGGGUGAUCGGCCACACGGGAACUGGGACACGGUCCAGGCUCCUACGGGAGGCAGCAGAAGGGAAUCUUCCGCAAUGGGCGAAAGCCUGACGGAGCAACGCCGCGUGAGUGAUGAAGGUCUUCGGAUCGGAAAACCCUGUUAUGAGGGAAGAACAUAUGUGGAAGUAACUGUGCACAUCGUGACGGUACCUAAUAAGAAAGCCACGGCUAACUACGUG
rnacentral:rRNA from 1 species